GGUUGGUCUGUUAUUGCCUACAAUUCAUGUCCAAUAAAGCCCAUUUCUGAAAUUAUGGAUCCAACAUAAGAUUUCCUGCUCAAGACCGUGCGUGCAUAAAGUCGAGUUUUUAAAUCAAAUUUUCAGACACGCCAUAGCUUUUAUAUUUCCCGGCAUUUAAUAGCUGUUGUCUCUUCUCCUCCAUAGUCUCCACUUUCCACGAGUGGCAUGGUUUCUCUCACGAUUUCUGUACCAACAACAAGAUUAAAGGGAAGGUUUCAAUCUUAUCCUCCUUACCUUUGUUAUUUCCGAUUAAACCGUCUCGAAUGGUUGCUUGUUCGAGUCAUCUGUGAAGACAAUAAACUUGCACGCCAUCUGUUUGGUUUAUUGUCUCAAUGAAGUCAUUGUCCCCUUGCUGUUGCAGCUUUAAUUUCGGAGUGCCGGCUUGAAGGGUAAUUUAGAGAGUACAUUUUUUUUUUCCAGCGAACAAUGACCUGUAGACAUAUAGAGAAGUUUAUCUACGGUGCAAAGCAUCUAAUGGCUAAGCGAAAUGGAGCGUUGCAUGUGAAUGUGAAGCUGUUUCAUUGGUCGGAGGAGUCUCGUGAAGAUCCUUUGCCCCCAGAGUGGUAUCAGAAGGCAUUCCCGAAGUUGACAAAAUUAACCCAGUUGUUAAAAAAUGUUGACUUGAUUGAUGGAAGGCUCGUCAAUGUCAGUGAUGAUUCGAUUAUCAUUGAUGAUCGUAUUGAAAACAGAAUGCUUACUUUCAAGUCACUUGCCAGGGUCUUUAUUGGAGCUCCACUAGUACAGAAAGCGCUGAGGAAUAAUAUGGCGGCAUUGUCAGGAGGUAGAAUCCAUAACCCGUUUGUGUGUUUCGGUACACCUAGUGAAAGGGAGCCCAUGAUUGUGAAUUCACUCUCAGUAGUAGGUGGCUUUCUGAACAUCUCUGCCCAACAAAGGCAGUCGGUGCGUGUCACAAUAUCCCCACAGGUCACACAGCAUCGCAUAUGGACAGGGAUGCUUGAGGAGGUACUCAAUGGAUUGAAAUCCGAGUUGGAUUAUCUAGACUAUCAGUACCCAAGCAAAGGGAUAAAAAUGGGGCAACAGAUAGCUUCUAGCUGUCUAAAGUUCUUGGCCGACACAUCCACCUCCAUUUCAUAUGAAAACGACUCCUCUUCAUGGACACGCCUUGUGCCUGCCAAAGUUAUUGACUCUUCUGGUUUGCAGAAAUGGGAAGAUGUUCUUGACAUGUUCAGCGACCUCAUUGAUUGGUUGAAAAAUGAAAGGAGGUUACUGACUUCCGUAGAAAAGCUUGAGGUAAUGAAAGAGGGGCUGUGUCAAAUCAAGGAUGUGCUGACUGAUAGAAGUAUAGGACACAAGGAACUCCGGCAUCAAGAAAGCUUAGUGCAGAAGAAGUUGACGAAGACAUUGGGUCAUUCAUCCAAGUGCUUGUUCACACUUUUGUUAUAUUACCUGUAUGGGCGUGUUGGAGAUAUUGAAGUGGACAUGCGUGGUGGUAUUUAUAGCCGUGGUAGUGGGGAUGAUUUCUGCUUGUGCAUGGCAAGGAUUGUGACUUCGGACGAGGAGGAGAUGGUGUGGAGCGGGGUGAGGCAGUUAGACAGGGCUCUUGGGCUUUUCAAGUUUGUAUGGGAAACAGCAGGGAUGAAAGGGGCUUUACAACUGCAAGGCCAUGUAUGGUGUGUAGGGGCUGAGGGCAGAGUUCUUACAUAUAGAGGAAACACCUUUUUUGUACAUGGGAUUCAUGUUUGAGCAAUGGUUGUCUUAGCCCGUGAGUUUAAAUUUCAGAAUGCAUCGAAGUUAGGACUGCUGCCCAUAACAAGCGAGAAUUAGAGAAGUUGUUGCAGCAACUGUGCUGAGUUCUAGGAGUUCUUAGGCCAUUGGUUUUCGGAGAAGCAGAUUUGGACAUAACAACAGACUGAUGAGUGCUUAAAUAUUUGAAAUUGGCCAUCUGCAAAUGUCAAAGUGCUAUAAAUCACGAAAUGAUGACACAAUUAUCAUUGUCAUGGUCAUCAUAUAUCUUUGGUCAUGAACAAUCUACAAUCUGGCUAAUAUAAACAUGGAAUGCAGAAAUAAAGAGAUUAGACACAUUGUUUGAAUGGAAGUGAUGACGGGAAGUGCAGCAACCACAACAAUAAAAACUACAGACCAUGGAGAAUUGACAGAGUACUGUUUUAACAUUUCCUUCCACUUGUGCCAAGGGAUUCUGUGGUAUGCAUUGAUGUCUUCACAAAGAUCAGCAAAGAAAUUUCUGCGGAACCUCGGGCUAAUAAGGAGGUCUAUGAAGACUGCUCGAGGUGUGUAGGCCUUUUCAGCUACAUGUCGCGGUCGUUCAAGAACUCUAUAGAUGCAACAAUCAGAUGUUGCAGUCUUAAAUUCAUAACGAUUGUGAUUCUAUAAUCCUACUAGAUUAUAUGUAGGACUCUUUGAUAUCUUUUAGAUAGUUUAUUAGUUGUAUUGUGUAUUACUUGGAGAGCAAGGAUUAUCUCUUCCUUAUCUCUAUAAAUAAAGGUCCAAUGGGGUGAGAAAUCACAUCACAGA